rnacentral:RNase_P_RNA from 1 species
AGUGGGGGGAGGAUGGCUCACCGGGCAGCAAUGCGCUGCCGGGAGGAAGUUCUGCCCACCGCAAGAGUCCGAAGGGCUUAAGGCCCGAUCGGGAACAGAAACGACGACCUCCUCAUACAGAUGAAUAUGACGAAAGGCCAAGCGCGUGCUUCGCACGGCUUAGGCGCACAGGAGCUUUUGCUCCCUGUGCGAGAUGUGUGGGGCAGGAUGAAACGGCCCGUGUGCGGACACCCAGUCGUGCUCCGCACGACUGAGGCGUGCAAGAGCUCCGCUCUAUGCACGCAGUGCGCGGUGCAAGGCUUUACGCCGCUUAGUCCAAUGCCAUCUAAAAACAGAAGGCAGGCUACUACCCCCCGCU